rnacentral:lncRNA from 1 species
UGGGAUCUGGAGCAUACAAGUAUAAUGGCGGAAGUGUUGGGCAAAAUGCAAAAAAGGACUUUUCGGAUUUUAAACUGGUUGAAUUACCCAUUUCACCACACAUGCGUGUACGGUUAAUAACGUUUAGAAAGCAGAUACUAAUAGUUAUUUGUUAAGUUUGGAGAAAAAGGAUUCCUCGCGGUUGCUAACUAGUGGUAUCUUGAUUGAGGGGCGACUUUGCACAUUUGUUGAAGCAGGUUGAAGGAAAGAGAACAGUUAGCGCACAAGCAGCUUUCAGAAAAGUGGUCUCUCAAAGAACGGCUUGAGGCAAAAACAGGUAACUACAGCAAGUAAAUUACAACAUGUUUGACAAAGGGCAGCUGAUCUUGAAAUCUGGCAGAUGUUACUACAAGCCAUGAUACAUGUAGGUGCCAUGAUGGUGGUCCAUUGAGGGUAGUCCAUGGGUAGUCCAUGGGUAGUCCAUUCAAGUAGUCCAUGGACCAGGUCCAUCAAGGUAGUCCAUAGACUAGGGGUCAGCAAAAUGUACCAUUACACGGUGAUAAAAAGAACAAGCAAAUCCAAAUUCAAGUUCUUGCUUCAUCUCUCAUGUGAUGGUGCUGUCCAAGAAGAAAGCAAGUUGCUAGAGACAUAGCGCACAAGAUCAAGGACCAUGGACCCGGGACAGAGGACCCUGGACAGAGCAUCAAGGAGCAAGGAUGGGACUGAGGAAUGAGGACCGAGGAUUGACAACUGUGGGUCAAGGACAGUGGAUGAUGCCUUGGAAGAUGAACUUUCGGAAGAUGAAUUAUAGAUAUAUUAAGGUAUAUGAGAUAUUACCAGUAGCAGAAAUGGCACAGUGCACCUUGCCCUGAGGGUUUUUCUCCAGGUACUCCGGUUCCCCUCACUCCUGAAAAACCAAUAUUUUCAAAUUACCAGUAGCAGAGAUGGCAUGGUGCACCUUGCCCUGAGGGUUUUUCUCCAGGUACUCCGGUUUCCCUCACUCCUGAAAAACCAAUAUUUCCAAAUUUCAAUUUAACAAAAUUUGUGACACAUUACUGUGGGCCAAUUGAGAUGAAAAAUUCUUUGAUUACUUGAGGUAAACAUUAAUUUGUUUGCAAUGUAAUACCAAUUUAUUACUCUCUGUUCAUUUCCUAGUUACAUGUGCACAUGUGGGUUUGCAGUCUCCUUUGCAGCUGUUAUUUUAGUCAAUGAGCAAACUAGGAAGAAGUUUUAUUUUUUUCUUUUUCAAAGAUCUCUUUUUUAAUCAUAGGUAAAGGGAAAUUCCCAAGUCAAUCAAUCAAUCAAUCAAUCAAUCAAUCAAUCAAUCAACCAAUAAUUUAAUCAAUCAAAAAAUCACUCAAUAACUCAAUUAAUAGUCAAGAUGAAAAGCCCAGGAUAUGCAGCUAAAUAAAAUAGCAAUUACCAACCUUUAAAUUUAUCUAGUUGCAAUUUAAAGAUCUUUAAGAUUGUAUUCCAAUACCACUUUGAUGCACAUGUAACUAGUACCCAUGUAAACAGAGUAUUGAACUGACCAGUGUGUGUGUUGUGUGGGUGUCAUUCAUUUGCAAAUAAGUGGCUUGCUUGUCACAUUUUCCAUACAAUUCAUUAUAUCAGGGCCGGGAAUUAUGCCAAUAGCAAUCAUCCUGACUAAAAAUUAACUGAAUCUCAAUUAUGGUAAAAUUUGUUUCUGUGAAUUAAAAGUUCAGUAAUUCUUGUUGUAUUUUCAUGCGUACAGACAUAAAACAAAAAAGAGCCGACAUUUUGUUCAAAAUUGCCUAAAAAAGUAAGUUUUUGCAAUUGUUAUUGUCGAAUUCAGAAACGGACAAUGAAAGUUCAAAAAGCCAUGCAGAAAAUAAACCAAAAUAUAUUUUAAUAAGAAAUAAUUUAUGAAAUGCUCUUUAUCCAAGAAAAGAAACCUAAACUGAACACUCAAUCUGACUCAAUCAAAGCAAAACUAUUUAGUUCUUAAUUAACACUCUCUAUAUUCCACAUUGUAGUGUUUUUAAUCACAUGCAACAAGACUUUCACAAUAAAGAACUCCCAAGAAUCUGACUUUUAGUUUUAUGAAUUUGAAAAUGAUGAAUAAGUCAUCAAAAGGUCAUUCAAAAUUAUUAUCGCUAACUUUUGUUCUUAAUUGUUUGUCCAAAGCCUCCGUUACUAGAAAAUACAGUCAAAACUUAUUUACCAUUUUAUUUAUUUCUUACAUGUACGUGUACAGGCAUUUUGAGUGCUCAUUAAAAAUCCUCAUAUUUAAAUUCUAGGAUGCUCUUAAAUGCAAAGCUAAAAAUAUUCCUAUUGAGUUCUAACCACAAGUUAUUUCAGUUCCUGAAAAUAAAUUGAAGUUACUCUUUUUUUGAUAUAUGUACCGGCAUUUUGGUGUACCACUAAAGAAGUCAGACAGCAGGAUAUAAUCAUUACAGUAGAUUUGAUUUUACAGAAGCCACUUAUUUGCUCAUGAAAACCUAGUUUCUCCUUCUUGCAAGAUUCCUAUUGAGCAGCUCUAUGGUGAAAUCUGUUCACUUCCAUUGGUUUUCCUCGGAAAUGGUAAAUUUAGUUUGGAGUUGAAAAACAAUAUCUUUUGCCAACGUCAACAUAAGAAACCGUUUAAGGUUCUCUUCAUUUUUAUGUCUGAUUUUGAAAAAAAAUAUACAUAUUUGUUGUACUUAAAAUACUGUUGCCAGAAUGCUAAGUUAUUUGCUUUUCUUGAGAAAAAUUUUCCCUGUAUUUACUUUAAAAAAUACAAUACAUUUUUUAAUCCAAAUAAGCUUGUUUUGGGAAAGUAGCUGCUCAGGAGGAAACUUGUAUUCAAG